AAAAAAAAAAAAAAAAAAGAGGAGGCAAAAGUAGGAUGUGAGGAUGACUAGAAUUCAGAGGACCUAAAAUCAGAAAAUAUGAAUUCAGAGUCAUAAUUCUGGUAGAUUUUGUAACUGAAAUAUUAUUCUGAUGGGCAAAAAAAUGAACAAAUAUAAAGAAACCACGAAUUUCAAAAUGAAUAGCUAAAAGUAAAUCUAGGUUACAUUUUGCUAAGGGCAAAAGUCACAAAUGAAUUUAACA
rnacentral:lncRNA from 10 species